GAUGAACGCUGGCGGCGUGCCUAAUACAUGCCAGUCGAGCGAACGGACGAGAAGCUUGCUUCUCUGAUGUUAGCGGCGGACGGGUGAGUAACACGUGGAUAACCUACCUAUAAGACUGGGAUAACUUCGGGAAACCUGAGCUAAUGCCGGAUAAUAUUUUGAACCGCAUGGUUCAAAAGUGAAAGACGGUCUUGCUGUCACUUAUAGAUGGAUCCGCGCUGCAUUAGCUAGUUGGUAAGGUAACGGCUUACCAAGGCAACGAUGCAUAGCCGACCUGAGAGGGUGAUCGGCCACACUGGAACUGAGACACGGUCCAGACUCCUACGGGAGGCAGCAGUAGGGAAUCUUGCGCAAUGGGCGAAAGCCUGACGGAGCAACGCCGCGUGAGUGAUGAAGGUCUUCGGAUCGUAAAACUCUGUUAUUAGGGAAGAACAUAUGUGUAAGUAACUGUGCACAUCUUGACGGUACCUAAUCAGAAAGCCACGGCUAACUACGUG
rnacentral:rRNA from 1 species